AAUGAACGCUGGCGGCAUGCCUUACACAUGCAAGUCGAACGGCAGCAUGACCUAGCUUGCUAGGUUGAUGGCGAGUGGCGAACGGGUGAGUAAUGCAUCGGAACGUGCCUUUUAGUGGGGGAUAACGUAGCGAAAGUUACGCUAAUACCGCAUAUUCUCUGAGGAGGAAAGCAGGGGGCCUUCGGGCCUUGCGCUAGAAGAGCGGCCGAUGUCGGAUUAGCUAGUUGGUGAGGUAAAGGCUCACCAAGGCAACGAUCCGUAGCGGGUCUGAGAGGAUGAUCCGCCACACUGGGACUGAGACACGGCCCAGACUCCUACGGGAGGCAGCAGUGGGGAAUUUUGGACAAUGGGCGCAAGCCUGAUCCAGCCAUGCCGCGUGAGUGAAGAAGGCCUUCGGGUUGUAAAGCUCUUUCGGCUGGGAAGAAAUCGCACUCUCUAAUACAGGGUGUGGAUGACGGUACCAGAAGAAGAAGCACCGGCUAACUACGUG
rnacentral:rRNA from 1 species